rnacentral:rRNA from 15 species
ACCGCUGAAAGCAUCUAAGCGGGAAACUUGCCUCAAGAUGAGAUCUCACUGGAGCCUUGAGCUCCCUGAAGGGCCGUCGAAGACUACGACGUUGAUAGGUUGGGUGUGUAAGCGCUGUGAGGCGUUGAGCUAACCAAUACUAAUUGCCCGUGAGGCUUGACCAUAUAACACCCAAGCAAUU